GCUAGGAUGGUCCGUGCAAAAGGCAGAGGUGGCUCAGCUGAGAAGUGUCAUGACCAAACAGAAGUCAAAACUCUCAAAACUCUCAAUUAAUCUUGCUAGCAUAAUGAACAUGCAUAAUGACUGAAGUGGGAAGUGGCCUAGGGUCGUCCACAGUGGCGGCAAAUGGUUGGCGUCAGUGUCUGUACUGUCAGGGACGCAUCUUCAAAGUCCCUAAUGAUUUCCUCAAACAUAUCCGUGAAUGUCA